rnacentral:rRNA from 1 species
GAGUUUGAUCCUGGCUCAGGAUGAACGCUAGCGGCAGGCUUAACACAUGCAAGUCGAGGGGUAACAUUGUGCUUGCACAGAUGACGACCGGCGCACGGGUGCGUAACGCGUAUAGAACCUACCUUUUACAGAGGGAUAGCCUUUAGAAAUGAAGAUUAAUACCUCAUAGUAUUGCGAUUUGGCAUCAGAUUGUAAUUAAAGAUUUAUCGGUAAAAGAUGGCUAUGCGUCCUAUUAGUUAGUUGGUAAGGUAACGGCUUACCAAGACAUCGAUAGGUAGGGGUCCUGAGAGGGAGAUCCCCCACACUGGUACUGAGACACGGACCAGACUCCUACGGGAGGCAGCAGUGAGGAAUAUUGGACAAUGGAGGAGACUCUGAUCCAGCCAUGCCGCGUGCAGGAAGGCUGCCCUAUGGGUUGUAAACUGCUUUUAUACAGGAAGAAACACUAGUACGUGUACUAGCUUGACGGUACUGUAAGAAUAAGGACCGGCUAACUCCGUGCCAGCAGCCGCGGUAAUACGGAGGGUCCGAGCGUUAUCCGGAAUCAUUGGGUUUAAAGGGUCCGCAGGCGGUCGAUUAAGUCAGAGGUGAAAUCCCAUAGCUUAACUAUGGGACUGCCUUUGAUACUGGUUGACUUGAGUCAUAUGGAAGUAGAUAGAAUGUGUAGUGUAGCGGUGAAAUGCAUAGAUAUUACACAGAAUACCGAUUGCGAAGGCAGUCUACUACGUAUGUACUGACGCUCAUGGACGAAAGCGUGGGGAGCGAACAGGAUUAGAUACCCUGGUAGUCCACGCCGUAAACGAUGGACACUAGUUGCUGGGAUUUAUCUCAGUGACUAAGCGAAAGUGAUAAGUGUCCCACCUGGGGAGUACGAUCGCAAGAUUGAACUCAAGGAAUUGACGG